UAAAUUAGUAACUCCUGACUUAAAUCUGCACAUGCUAAUCAUAUUUGUCAUAAUUUACAUCCCUUUAGAUAAUUGAAAAGCAAUUCAAAUUAAAAAAUUUUAAGUUUGCUUUGUAGAAAAAGUCUGCAUUAAACUCUGUGAGGUGAAAACUGUAAAAAUCAGAGUAAAGCAUUUCCCAAAGCAUGUUUUAUUGGAUAUUAACAGGU
rnacentral:lncRNA from 1 species